CAGAGGCCCGGGUGGCUGGGGGUCCCAGCUCUCCAGGAGGGCGGGGCAUAAGGUGAGGGCUCACCUGGGCACGGAGGCAGCCAGCAGCAGUAGGAAGAAGAGGAGAGCACAGAGCGCGGGCCGCGGCUGGGGCCGAGGUCGGAGCCGCAGCCAGGGGCAAGGGUGCCUCCUGGACACCAAGCCACCCUCUGCCUCAGUGAAAUGAGGUUAAUGAGACCCACCUCAUCUCAUCAAUGAGCCAGUGAAGCCUGAUUCUCCCUCUCCAUAUCACUCUGGGGUGCCGAUGUGAUCUUCGAGGGCUGGACCAGAGGGAAUGACAGUGAUGCUGGGUACCUUCCAAGGCUGGACCCUAAGAAGACACUUGCAGUCUCUGCCUUCAACUUUGGCACAGUAUAAUUUGAAAUCCAGCUUUAUGCUGAAGCCACCAUGCUGUAAGGAAGCCCAAGCUAGUCAAAUGGAGAGAAGGAGGCUACUGGAGAAACUCUGGGACACUGGACAUACAUGAGUGAAGCCUUUUGGACUGUCCAUCCCAGCAGAACCACCAGCAGAAUCAGUCACGUGGAUGACCACAACCAAUAGCUUGUCACAAAGAGCAGAACCACCCAGCUGAGUCCUGACAAAUUCCUGACCUAAAGGAUCAUGAGGAAUAAUUACUUUGGCAUUGUUUGUUAUGCAGCAAUGGAUAACUGAAACAAUGAUAUUCCCAUUGCAUAGGUAAAGGCACUGGGACUAAGAUGGCCUAUAUUGUAAACUUCUAAGCAACAGCACUGGUUUCCAACCCAGAGUGCCUGAAUCUAAUGUUCAUGCUUUGCUCUGCAUACCUUGAUAGGAGAGUCAUUCUCCACUGCGGUUUUUGGACUGUGGGGACAUUGGGGGCUCCAAAUCCCAGCCAUUUGGCC